rnacentral:rRNA from 1 species
GACGAACGCUGGCGGCGUGCUUAACACAUGCAAGUCGAGCGGUAAGGCCCUUCGGGUACGACGAGCGGCGAACGGGUGAGUAACACGUGGGUGACCUGCCUCUAGCUCUGGGAUAAGACCUGGGAAACUAGGGUCGUAAUACCGGAUAUGACUCCACGGCGCAUGUUGUGGGGUGGAAAGCCUUGUGUGGCUAGAGAUGGGCCCGCGGCC